GACGAACGCUGGCGGCGUGCUUAACACAUGCAAGUCGAGCGGUAAGGCCCUUUCGGGGGUACGACGAGCGGCGAACGGGUGAGUAACACGUGGGUGACCUGCCCUCAGCUCUGGGAUAAGCCUGGGAAACCGGGUCUAAUACUGGAUAUGACUCCAUGACGCAUGUUGUGGGGUGGAAGGCCUUGUGCGGCUGAGGAUGGGCCCGCGGCCUAUCAGCUUGUUGGUGGGGUGANGGCCUACCAAGGCGACGACGGGUAGCCGGCCUGAGAGGGCGACCGGCCACACUGGGACUGAGACACGGCCCAGACUCCUACGGGAGGCAGCAGUGGGGAAUCUUGCGCAAUGGGCGAAAGCCUGACGCAGCGACGCCGCGUGAGGGAUGAC
rnacentral:rRNA from 1 species